GGGAGGUCCCGGGUUUGAAAAGGAAAAAGGAGCAGUCUUGGUGUGGAGAGAAAAGGAAAUAAGCCCGGAUCCAGAGGGAUUCACAUUGUUCUGAAAGAUGCCUGUAACAUCCAGCAAACAAAGUACAUGAUGGUGAUGACGCCACAUCCAAGACUCUAGAACUGAGCUCUAACUGAACACAUGAAUUCAGGUGAUCUGGCAACUCAGAAGAAAACAGUCCAGUUAGAUCUGCAGGUGAAACAUUACCUAAACCUUUGAGGAACUUGUUGACGCCUCUGUUCUCGCUGCC